rnacentral:lncRNA from 1 species
CACUCGGCAAAGCCACCUCUGAAAAUUCUUUUUUUUUGUUUUACCCCAUCUAGACAACAAUACAUAUAUAUACAUACCAGAAACCACGAUUCAACAUCAAAUAAUCACAAGCGGCUCACAGUCCAUAAUCCACAAGUUCAAUAGUUCAACAAGUUCACUAGUUCAACAGCAAACAAACCACAACUCAUAGUCUACAAGUUCACAAGUUCAAUACAUAAAAAAGAAUCCGCAAGCAGCUCACGGCGAAUGUGAGGGAUGGGACGGGCCGACUUGCGAUGCCGGCGACUCUCCGCAAUGGUUUGACGCUGCUGCCGAUUGAUGCUGCACAAAAGAGAAUAGAUUGCAUGUGAGUGAGAAGAAAAAAAUGUAAAUAGUUCAAACAAAAGUUAAAAAUUUCAGUAGCACCUUCCCUGCACGGGGAGGUUCCCAAAACCUGCAACAAAAACGUCGGCACGAAGGCUGACAAACACAUUUCCAGCACGUAGCCCGACAUAUGAACAAAUCCAGCACGAAGGCCCACACAUCAACAAAUCCGCCAUCACUAAGUUUGACACUAAGCAUGAGCAUAGAAAGUAACAUAUUUGUAUUCGUACUCACCGUAGUAGAAUCUACAUGAUGUGUUAGUCGUGGUGGUGCGAGUAGGUUUUCUGGGAUCUGCCAACCUUGCUGCUGCCCAAUUUGUUGCACCCACUUGAGCAAACCUUCUUGCUGGGCCUCCAA